CCCUAAUUUGGGGAUUCUUCUCCAAACCUGAGUCAGAUUCUUUUCCAACCCUAAUUUGGGGAUUCUUCUCCAAACCUGAGUCAGGUUCUUUUCCAAACUUGAUUCAGGUUCCUUCCCAGCCUUAAUCCAGUGAUUCCUUUCCAACCCUGAUUCAGUGGCUCUGUCCCAACCUCAAUUCCACGAUUCCAAGAGCAAAAGCUGCCCUGAGUUUAUCUAAACGCAGUUUACCUAAAUUUCCCUCAAAAACGAACCCUUGGACCUAAAACCUCGAAUUUCUGCCAAAACAACAAUUAAGGCUUGAGCUUCAUUUGGUUGAUUCCCUCAAGGGAAGAGCCUGGAAGCCCCUCUGGACAGGAAGGAAGCGGGAAGGCCCCUCCUCCCCCGCAGAUCCCGACCUUGGCUGUUUUUUUCGGGAGAAACCCCAAAACCAGCGCGUUUAUUCCUCGGAGCAACGGCGCCCCCGUCACUGUGAUGGCAAUGUGAAAGCGCAGGUAGCCUUUGUUACGUGUGUCUGUCCUUUUUACAAAACAACCAGGAAAAAGAAAAAAAACCCAAAAAAACCUCCCUCCCUCUUAGAAUUAAACUUUGUAGUGUUCCUGUUCUUUGUAUUUUGAGUUGCAUCUUAUUUAUACGGCGCAGUGUAGGCAUGGAUUGCAUGUCGGUUUUCUAUGCGGGCACCACGACAUUCUGACUGUGUAUUAUAAAUCAUUUUUACCUUUUUAAACAGGGAAAAAAAAAAAACCAACAAAACAAAACAAAAAAAAAA